rnacentral:lncRNA from 1 species
GGAUGAAGAGAAUGGCAGAGGAUUUGGUCAUCGUGUAGAGGGAGACGGUGACAUACAGGAAGCUCCAGUUACUCAGCCCAAUAUCCAAGGAAGUUGACAAAGCUGCGGGCGCGGCCCGGCGGAGCCACUCGGCCCAGGACAGCGUCGGCGGCGGCCGCCCGGAGCGGCAGCGCACCACGGCGCGGGACAGCGCCGACAGCGCGAAGAUGAGCAGGAGGUGCAGCAGCGUGGCGAGCAGCGGGAACGGGAAGCUCUUCAUCAGCCACUUGUUGUAGAAGGUGAUGCCGAUGGAGAAGCCGUAGUAGAGCAGCACCAGCGCCGCCACCAACGCCGCCCGGCCCAACGCCGCCGCCCCCGUCCCCAUGCGCCCGCCCGGGGCCCCGCGGAGCGCCGCGAGGAACAGCGCCGGGCCGCGGAGCGGUGACGACGAGGCGGAGGGCGGGGCCUGAGGCGGGCGGAAGGAAGGAGGCCCGGAGCCACUGCCGUGCUAUUGGUUAUUAUUCGAACUCGUACAAAAGUCGCACGGCGGCCAAACGGCGGCGUAGGAGCCCCGGGACGGCCGCGCACCGGGACGGUCCCCCGGGCCGGGCCGCAGCCCCCGUCAGCCGUAGUGGUACACGAAGUCGUAGCUGCUCGGCUCCUUGGGGAUGGGCGGCGGCGCCUCGGGGAUCUGGAUGUUCUCCAAGUCCAGCAGCCGCAGCUUCAUCUCCAUGCUCAGCAGCGUGUCCAGGUCGCUCCGCGUCAGCUCGCUGGACAUGUCCUUCCCCAGGAGAGCGUUAAGCCCAUCGAUCCAGAUACAGUACUCAUAUUUAUUAGGUGCGAUGAAGUUCAGGGUCUCAUCUGGAUCAUACAGUAUGGAGAAGGCCAGUUCUAACACUUCCUUGUUUUGUUUCAGUGCACUUUUCUCCUUCAUGUGUGGACAGUCCUUCCCCGUGACAAUGGCUUUGAUAUCUGCAACUGGAAUUUUUUCCUGCAGUGAUUCAAAGGUCACUUCCCCCUGGGCAUUGUCCUCCAGAUCUCCAUAGUGUAGCACUUUGUGGUUCAGAGCAAGGCGACAGUACCAAAAUCUUUCUGGAACUCAGAAAAAGUAGAGCAGGCUGAGCAGGAUCACUCACCUGAGGCCUCACAACCACUGACCAAUCCCUCCACCCCUCCAAUUCCCCAGCAUUACUUGCUGCUCAUGGCUGCGUUCUUAGAAAUGCACAUCUCUUCC